rnacentral:rRNA from 1 species
AUACGUAGGGAGCAAGCGUUAUCCGGAUUUACUGGGUGUAAAGGGCGCGUAGGCGGGACUGCAAGUCAGGUGUGAAAUCUGGUGGCUCAACCACCAAACUGCACUUGAAACUGUGGUUCUUGAGUGAUGGAGAGGCAAGUGGAAUUCCUAGUGUAGCGGUGAAAUGCGUAGAUAUUAGGAGGAACACCAGUGGCGAAGGCGACUCUCUGGACUGUAACUGACGCUGAGACGCGAAAGCGUGGGGAGC